AUGAUAUAUAUAUUAGGGUGCUUGCAUUAGAAUUCACGAAUAUGUCGCAUUGCACUUUAUGUUGUUGAUGUGGAUGAAUGUUGAAUGAUCCAUUAGCCCUUAUAUGGUAAGACAUGAUAGACUAUGGAAGCCCGGGUGAGCCUGCACUACGCCCCCGGCAUGAAUGGAUAUGUAUGUAUACUAUGGAAGUCCAGGUGUGCCUGCACUACGCCCCUGGCAUGAUUGGACUGUAUAGAGG
rnacentral:lncRNA from 1 species